CACAGCUAAGGGCAUCACCGCUCUGACUCGAUCCACUCUCGCUGUUUGCUCUAAAACUUAAGCAGCUUUAUAUAAAAUGGAUCCCACGGGAGAUGGACCACGCAAUGGUAGAAAUCGUCCAUGUUGGUACAUUUCACCAAGAGGAGCUGUACCACCAGCUAAUCAGUUGACCAACCUGCACAUUGCUAUGUUGGAUCACUCUGCACGUAUUGGACAGAACGUAGAAAAUCUCAGGCAACUUAGGAGACUUCUGAUGGCUGAACAGCAGGAAAGAAUGUUCCGUUCACAGGAAUUUAUUCUGUUGCGAGACCUCUUUUGACAAUGCAGGGAAACAUAGGAGGAGGACAUCUAUUCAAAUGUGUUAAGAAUCCGACUGGUGUCAAUGAACAGUCAUCACUUGGAAAGUUUGCAGCCAAGUGUGGAGUACCGUCUUCAAGUUGGGGAGCAGCUGUUGGCCCACGUAUAGAGCUCCAAGUGUAUCUUUCCAGGUUUAAUGGCCUUAGCCUGCUUUUUGCAAAUUCUGUGGUCUGAUGGGUCUUUGAAAGGUGACCUCCAGCUAUUACUAGGAAAGUUUGCAGCCAAGUGUGAAGCAGCUGGGAUGAGGAUCAGAACCUCUAAGUCCAUGGUUUUCAUGGUGAAUUCCCCCCUUCAAGUUGAUGAGGAGCUGCUGGCCCAAGUGAAGGGGUUCAAGUAUCUUGGGGUCUUGUUUGUGAGCGACGGAAACAUGGAGUAGACAGAUGGUUCAGGGCUGCCUGAAGUAGAGGUUACAUUUCUUAAUUGAUCAGUUGAUCUGUUCCGACCCUCAUCUGGGACCCAAUUUGGAAGAAACAUCUCUUGACUUUGAGAAAUACCCAGUGCCUCGUCACAAAGUUGAAUCCUCGUAUAUAUUUUUCUGCACCUGCCUUCCUCAAAGCUUUCUGCUGAGACCUGCCCUCUACUUCUGCCUCUGAUUGGCUCUGACCAAGACAGUCUGAGCCAAUCACUAAUGCCACAGACCUCAAUAAUACUGAAGUCUGUUAUACUGAUGAUGCUUAUCACAAGAAUCUCCUUUUGUCAAAACAAACAAGCCCCAAAAUACAAGCUCCACUCAUAAAACCAAACAACUUGAUCUUUACUCAAAACCAACCACUGUCAUUAGACAACACACAAAGGCAGCUAAUGCAUGAUGUAGGGUUGGACAGUAAGCAAUAUCAACCAUUCAUUCUGUA